AAGACAGGGCUCUGCAGCUCGUGCUGCUGCUUGAGCACUUUGUAUUUUUUUUUUCAGCGUCAUUCCUUUGUUCCUUCACUAAAGAGAGACCUUGCCAGGAGAAAACCAGAAGUGUAGUAAGUUUUCGAGGAGCAGGGUGAGAGCCAACUCGGCAAAUAGCGUCGUUCUCUUCAAAUAUACCAGCAAUUAUGGCAGAAGGAAGCGAUCUGGCACUGAAGGUCACAAACAAUAAAGCUAAAAGCUGCCAGGAAGACCGCCCAAAUGGAAUUGAACAUCACAUCAUGCAGAGAUUUCGAAUGCAAAGCAACCUGCGAGGCCCAGUUGAACCAGGAAUUUGUGGAUGUUAUAGGGCACUGCGAAGGGGCCUCAUGCAAAUGCAACUACAAAGAAGCAUGCAUUACGCGGAAAUGCCAAAGACUUUGUCGCCAAGAAGCAGACAGGAGGCGUGUGCCGAACGCAAAUGGCGAAUGCCAACGAACGAACUGUAUUUGCACUCUCGAAGAUGAUUGCGAUAAAGAUAAGUGUAGAAAAAUCUGCACCGCUAAAUACCCGGGAAGACCAAGCUCCGCCAGGGGAAUAUGCAUCGAUGGAGAGUGCACCUGCAGGCAUUUGUAAUAAACCAAGCACAUGCACGAAGUUUCUCGAGAAGGUGCACGGGUGCUCUGAUACUGCCAUGGUGGUGGUUCUGCGAGCAACAACAACACUAGCGUAAAUAUUCAAAAUAAAGAAUAUUCGCUUCAUUGCAUCAUGUGGGCGCUGACGGAACGCU
rnacentral:misc_RNA from 1 species